rnacentral:ncRNA from 2 species
UACAGAGGGUGCAAGCGUUGUUCGGAAUUACUGGGCGUAAAGCGCGUGUAGGCGGUUUGUUAAGUCUCGUGUGAAAGCCCCGGGCUCAACCCGGGAAGUGCGCGAGAUACUGGCGGACUUGAGUGGCGGAGAGGAUGGCGGAAUACCCGGUGUAGAGGUGAAAUUCGUAGAUAUCGGGUGGAACACCUGUGGCGAAGGCGGCCAUCUGGACGUCAACUGACGCUGAGACGCGAAAGCGUGGGGAGCAAACAGG